AGUUAAUUAGCUUAAAUAAAAGCUUAUACCUUGAAAGUAUAAGAUAAGAAUAGAUAUCUUAUUAACUU
rnacentral:tRNA from 1 species